AUCCUUUUUUGAAAACAACUUCCAAAAAUAAUUAUUAAAUUAGGAAAUAAAUAAAAAUAUUUAGUAUUUACACAGUACUUUUCCCAAAGAAAAUUACAAAGAAAAUCAUCAGUUUUUCACUAUAAAUACCAGCAUCACUCAAGCACAAAAUUACUCAUCUCUCUCACUUAUCAUUUUCUCUCAAAUUCCACUCAUUAAAACACACACACACACACAAUGAAAACACUUCCAUUUUCUGCCAUUUUGCUUGUUCUUCUCUUCAUUUCUGCUGGCACUGAGUUAAAGAUGGCAAAUGCAAUAGGGAGUUGUGAUGUGUUUGGGCACAGUGGAGGGUGUGAAAUAAAUGAAUGCUUCAAUGGAUGUAGGGCCAAGUUGGGACAAGACGCUCAUGGAUUUUGCUACACUAUCAAAACUCCUAAUGAUACUUGCAUGUGUCGUCAUCCUUGUUAAUUUAUUUAAGAAAAUUAAUAAUUAAUUUCCCUUUAGGAUAUUAUUUUUGGGUUUUUAUUUCUAUAGUUGUGUUUAUGUAUUUGGUAUCUAGUUUUUAUCAAAUAAAUUUAAGUUUUUAGAGUUUUAA